GGCCGCCCCGUUCGGGGACCGCGCCCGCUCGGGGGCGGCUCGUUCCCCCUGGAGGUGGCCGCGGGGGGGGGGGGGGGGGGCGGGGGGAGGUCUUUGCCUCGGUAAAAUUUCCAUUAAACCCUUUGCUUUUCCGCUACGUGGAGAUGAAUGACGGAAGGCGAACUGGGAAAACAUCCAAAACGUGACUAUUGAUUAAAGCUCGAGCGUUUGCAAGCGCCUUUAGAGGCGUUUUGGAAAAGCAACCCCUUUGUGCAAUUUUGUCUGUUUAAACAGAGCAAAGGGAACAAAAAUAACAGGAAAAUAAACCCCAAGAAAAACAGGUGAUGGAAAAGAAAACAAUUGCUCGCUGCCAACAGACCAAUGCUCAGCAAGUCCCUGAGCAACAGCAGCCCCUGCCAGCCUCCAUUCCCCACCAGUUUUAUUUCUGAGCAUGAUGUCGUAUGGCAUGGGAUAUUCCUUCAGUCAGUUAGGGUCAACUGUCCCAGCUGUGUCCUCUCCCAGCUUCUUGUGCACCCCCAGUCUGCUUGCUGGCGGGGCAGUCUGAGGAACAGAAAAGGCCUGGAUGCUGCGUAAGCACUGCUUAGCAAUAACUAAAGCAUCCCUGUGUUAUCAGCACUGUUUUCAUCACAAACCCAAAACAUAGCGCCAUACAAGCCACUAUGAAGAAAUUUAACUCUAUCUCAGCUAAAACCAGUACAGUCACUCAUUCUUGUUUACUGAGGAUAAAUUUGCUCUUACUUUUGAUCCCGCAGGGAUGUUAGGAGCAGCGCGCAGCUCUCCUGCCUUACAGGACAAAUUUAAGCUGGUGUCCGGCAAUAAAGAAUAAUGCUGUAUGCUGUCUUGAUUGCAGAUUCAGAGUUAGCAAAAACAUUUUGGCUAAUGAUUCUGGGUUCUUUUUAACUAGUAGCCGGGAUAGAGACAGGGGGAAUGGGGCAGGAAAAGGCGGCAGAAGAAACCUAAGUCUUCGAUUCCAGCUGUUGGAUUGAGAGAGAAAAGAAAUGCUGUCUUGGUCCCUCAGUCUGGCCGAAUCUAGAAUCUCUGAAGCAGAGAGCAUCUCCCAGGACCAGAGCCCGACGGUGCCGGGGAGGAUGCGAGGCUCCAGUCACAGCUGCUGUCCCUUCUCCCAGAGCUGGCGCCAUUUCCAUGUCUCAGCCCCGUCUCCUCAUCACUUCCUUCAAUAAUCUGAGCUAGUUUCCAACAGACUGUUUGUUCCAUGAAUCGCUGCAAGCAACGGGGCCUGCCAGAACAAAAGAGGAAAUGGGGAACCACGCAACGGCAGGACCAUUUUAUUCCUGAAAUAUCAAUACAGUAACCAGGAUUCCCUUUGCUAUGCAUGUCAUAUAUCCAUGUCACAGCGUCAGAAGGUGCAGCAACUUUCUGCUAUUGAAGGGCAAGGAAACUGCAUGGGUGCGGUCCCAGCUAAGCCCAGCCACGUCCCAGUCCUGGCGGUGCUGGCUGCUGGAGGAGGAAAGCCUGAGAUGGAGACACUGGCUCUGUGCCCUCUGCGUGAGCAACCGAGAUGUCGAGAGAGCUGCUAGCAAUCAAGGCCAGAAAUUCGAGCAAGAAAACACGAUCCAUCUGCAUGAGCACAGGCAGAGUCUGGAUGCUAACCCGGAUCUGUCAGCAGAGAAUCCCAGAGCCUCAGUCGUGAAGUGAGACUGCCUUCCGCUCAGUGUUGCAUAAUAAAAAUACACAGAAGAACACGAUGGUCUCUGCUGCAGAGAGCUCACAGGUAUCUGCGUGCCAAGCGGGCUACGUCCCUGGGUAAUGACCAGCCGUUCGAGAGAAGGGUGUUGCAGAAUAACCUGACCCGUGCCCAUCUUCAGGCAACACAGAACUGAGACAUCGAGGGUAGAUUUUCGAGGGGAUUUCUGUUGCUCCAGUACCAACCUACAUAAUUCCUAACUUUUCAUACUCAGAGGGCUCAAUGAGUUCACAACCCAAAGAUAAGUUUAUAAAUUCUGUCACCCGGUCCUUGGAUCUAGUAUUUACCUAAAAAAAUGGAUUUCUAAAAGUCAGCGUGCAGAAAUGGCAAAACAGCUAGGUGGUGGGGAAAGGCGAGCAGAGGAGACAGCCCAGAUGUCCGUGCCUUUGGGGAGCUCCCUGUCUGUCGUGGCCUUCCCCAGCUUCUCUCUACUUUUAAGAAACAAAUAUUAAUUUCCUCAAGGACUUUAAUUCAUUUUGCUUUUAUCCCAUAUGAACUCCAAGAUUCUAUCUCAAACUAAUGACAAGUAUGUUUGAUUUUUCUAUGCAAAGAAGAGCAGCUUCACAAGGAAAGGUUGAGAACCAUUUGUUUUGUGGUUUCCAGUGGGAUACUGUCCUGCUGGUAGGGUUGAUAGGUCCAAGUUUUAUAACGUGAUGAAGCUAAAUACCUAAAUAAAUAUUCUAAGUACCUAAAUAAAUAUUAUUUGGGUACUUAUU